rnacentral:rRNA from 1 species
GCGGCGUGCUUACACAUGCAAGUCGAACGAUGAUGCCCAGCUUGCUGGGUGGAUUAGUGGCGAACGGGUGAGUAACACGUGAGUAACCUGCCCCUGACUCUGGGAUAAGCGUUGGAAACGACGUCUAAUACUGGAUAUGAUCACUGGCCGCAUGGUCUGGUGGUGGAAAGAUUUUUUGGUUGGGGAUGGACUCGCGGCCUAUCAGCUUGUUGGUGAGGUAAUGGCUCACCAAGGCGACGACGGGUAGCCGGCCUGAGAGGGUGACCGGCCACACUGGGACUGAGACACGGCCCAGACUCCUACGGGAGGCAGCAGUGGGGAAUAUUGCACAAUGGGCGAAAGCCUGAUGCAGCAACGCCGCGUGAGGGAUGACGGCCUUCGGGUUGUAAACCUCUUUUAGUAGGGAAGAAGCGAAAGUGACGGUACCUGCAGAAAAAGCACCGGCUAACUACGUGCCAGCAGCCGCGGUAAUACGUAGGGUGCAAGCGUUGUCCGGAAUUAUUGGGCGUAAAGAGCUCGUAGGCGGUUUGUCGCGUCUGCUGUGAAAUCCCGAGGCUCAACCUCGGGCUUGCAGUGGGUACGGGCAGACUAGAGUGCGGUAGGGGAGAUUGGAAUUCCUGGUGUAGCGGUGGAAUGCGCAGAUAUCAGGAGGAACACCGAUGGCGAAGGCAGAUCUCUGGGCCGUAACUGACGCUGAGGAGCGAAAGCAUGGGGAGCGAACAGGAUUAGAUACCCUGGUAGUCCAUGCCGUAAACGUUGGGCGCUAGAUGUAGGGACCUUUCCACGGUUUCUGUGUCGUAGCUAAACGAAUUAAUCGCCCCGCCUGGGGAGUACGGCCGCAAGGCUAAAACUCAAAGGAAUUGACUGGGGCCCGCACAAGCGGCGGAACAUGCG